rnacentral:rRNA from 1 species
AUUGAACGCUGGCGGCAGGCCUAACACAUGCAAGUCGAGCGAGCGGCGGACGGGUGAGUAAUGCAUGGGGAUCUGCCCGAUGGAGGGGGAUAACUACUGGAAACGGUGGCUAAUACCGCAUACUAUCGGAUGAACCCAUGGGGGAUUAGGUAGUGGGUGGGGUAAAGGCUCACCUAGGCGACGAUCUCUAGCUGGUCUGAGAGGAUGAACAGCAACACUGGGACUGAGACACGGCCCAGACUGCUAAGGGAGGCAGCAGUGGGGAAUAUUGCACAAUGGGGGCAAGCCUGAUGCAGCCAUGCCGCGUGAAUGAAGAAGGCCUUAGGGUUGUAAAGUACUUUCGGCAGGGAGGCGUUAACCGCAGAAGAAGCACCGGCUAACUCCGUGCCAGCAGCCGCGGUAAUUC